rnacentral:rRNA from 1 species
GACAGAGGGUGCAAACGUUGUUCGGAAUUACUGGGCGUAAAGCGCGUGUAGGCUGCUAUGCAAGUCGGGUGUGAAAGCCCUGGGCUCAACCUAGGAAGUGCACUCGAAACUGCGGAGCUGGAGUCCUGGAGAGGAAGGCGGAAUUCUCGGUGUAGAGGUGAAAUUCGUAGAUAUCGAGAGGAACACCGGUGGCGAAGGCGGCCUUCUGGACAGUGACUGACGCUGAGACGCGAAAGCGUGGGGAGCAAACAGG